UGUAGGGUUCCUAGCGAGCCCAACCUCCCACCCGUGUUUACUGUACCUUAGUUGCUUCGGCGGGCCCGCCAUUCAUGGCCGCCGGGGGCUCUCAGCCCCGGGCCCGCGCCCGCCGGAGACACCACGAACUCUGUCUGAUCUAGUGAAGUCUGAGUUGAUUGUAUCGCAAUCAGUUAAAACUUUCAACAAUGGAUCUCUUGGUUCCGGCAUCGAUGAAGAACGCAGCGAAAUGCGAUAACUAGUGUGAAUUGCAGAAUUCCGUGAAUCAUCGAGUCUUUGAACGCACAUUGCGCCCCCUGGUAUUCCGGGGGGCAUGCCUGUCCGAGCGUCAUUGCUGCCCAUCAAGCACGGCUUGUGUGUUGGGUCGUCGUCCCCUCUCCGGGGGGGACGGGCCCCAAAGGCAGCGGCGGCACCGCGUCCGAUCCUCGAGCGUAUGGGGCUUUGUCACCCGCUCUGUAGGCCCGGCCGGCGCUUGCCGAACGCAAAUCAAUCUUUUUCCAGGUUGACCUCGGAUCAGGUAGGGAUACCCGCUGAACUUAA
rnacentral:rRNA from 1 species